CAUCCUGGGGCUGGAGAAGGUCCCAAGGGUUGGGCUGUUCGCCCAUUAAAGUGGCACGCGAGCUGGGUUCAGAACGUCGCGAGACAGUUCGGUCUCUAUCUACUAUGGGCGUUAGAAAUUUGAGGGGAGCUGACAUUAGUACGAGAGGACCGUGUCGGACGCACCUCUAGUGUACCUGUUGUGGCGCCAGCUGCAUCGCAGGGUAGCUAUGUGCGGUUGGGAUAAGCACUGAAAGCAUAUAAGUGCGAAGCCCACCUCAAGAUGAGAUUUCUCUUAAGGGUCGUUCAAGAUGAGGACGUUGAUAGGCUAUAGGUGUAAAGGCAGUAAUGUCAUAGCCAAGUAGUACUAAUUACCCGUGGAUUUUUCAUC
rnacentral:rRNA from 1 species